UCGGACGUGGUGUAUGCAACACAGCGGGGCUCUCUAGGUGGAUUUGAUUAGUGAUAUUCCCGCAGUCCGGGGUUCGACUCCCCGCGUCCGAA